rnacentral:rRNA from 1 species
CAGUCGCCGCGGGAAUACGAAGGGUGCAAGCGUUAAUCGGAAUUACUGGGCGUAAAGCGUGCGCAGGCGGUGAGUUAAGUCUGCUGUGAAAUCCCCGGGCUCAACCUGGGAAUGGCAGUGGAUACUGGCUCGCUAGAGUGUGUCAGAGGAUGGUGGAAUUCCCGGUGUAGCGGUGAAAUGCGUAGAGAUCGGGAGGAACAUCAGUGGCGAAGGCGGCCAUCUGGGACAACACUGACGCUGAGGCACGAAAGCGUGGGGAGCAAACAGGAUUAGAUACCCCAGUAGUCCCUGUCUCUUAUAC